GUAUGUAGGUCUACAUGUAUAUUCAUUGUACAGCUACGAGCACAUGAACUGCCCUCGAUUAUGCACUUGGAGCAUUAGUCAAUACUAACGAAGGAUAUAUUGUUGUCUGAAUCGUUUACCAUGUUUCGACUACGAGAGAAUUCUGACGGUCAUAUUUGCAAUGGAUUGAUAAACACAUAAAGAUACAGUGCAGAUAUAUUUAUAAACUGUCCCCAGUGAUAUUGUAACUAGUAAGGAAAAGUUAAUGGUGACACUUUAAUGUGUGAUGGAAUUGGACGUUGCUAAAAAGGAGUAGCCUCCCCUGUUAAAGAUCAAUAAUGGUGGAUAAACAAUGCAGGAUGCUGUCAUGUCAUCAACAGAGAGUUUUGACACCCGUAUACCCGUAUUUCUACCAAUCACCUCUGUAACCUUUGUUGUGUUCAUCAGACAGAUGAUGGACCACUCUACUUCCUUUUACAACAGGUGCCCCUACAGAUUCACAAAGUUCCAAUGUUGAUUUUCCAUGACCCCCAUUCAUCCGCGACAGGAAAAGGAAUGAAGUUGACAGGAUUUCCCGCACUGUCCUUGGUAGCAGCUUAUGAUAGAACGGACAGCAGUAGACAUAGCCCGCUUCAUCAAAGGUCUGCUGCAUGUUGGUAGCUGAUGCUGGUUCAAUAUUUGCGCCAAGAAGCAUACCACGCAUACCCUCUGUAGUAAGGCUGGUACCCAUGUGACCGACAGCCAUAGCCACAAAUAGCUGUGCAGCUCUGCGUCCCCUUCUGGAUCUCCCCACCUCUUCAUACAGCUUUUCACGGUGACUUGUAUAGUGGCACUUCUUACAUCGGAUGGAAAGGAUCCAUGCCAGGCAUCGUUUUUCCUCCCCAUGCUGGUUCCAGUCCAGUGAACCAUUACAGUCUGGAAACUUCUAGCUGCCUGGUCUUCUAAGAGAAACUCCAUUCUUUGAUGACUGAUGGAAAAGCCUCAUCACUCCCUACUGCUAAAGAACCACUUAUCUUAAUCACCAGCCAUUUAUCAGUGAUCAUUGCUAUCAAAGCUCCAUGGUGCACAUGAUGCAACUUCCUGGAUGUUUGUCAACAUGUGAAACCCACGUGUAUUUUGAGGUGCGACAGUAUGUCUCCAGGUUAAGUGAUUGUGUAGAUUGAUUCCCAGCAUAAUGAUGAUUUGCCAAAAGAGCAUAUGAAUAGAAAAUUGGUGAUGCUUAAAAAUAUCAGCAGAAUACAGAAAUUAAGAGACACAGAUGGACAAAAACCCUCUAUUUAAUAUAAUUUACAUAUUAGGCCUAUACAACUAGAACAUGUAACAAGUGAAAUUUAAAUGUAUGUAUAUAUUUACUGUAAAUGUAUUAUAUUCAGCGUGUACGAUAUUUGGCGGAAAUUGAUUUUUGAACAAGUUAGCGUGAAUUUGAUUUAGCGAAUUCCUUUUUGUUUUUUUAUUUAUGUGUAGAGUGUAAGACAUUUAGCGUUGUAUUUGAAUGAGCGGAAGUUGCUUUCCGCCAAAGGCGCUAAAAAGAAUACACAACCAAAUGUAAUACGUUUACAGUAUUAGAGCUGUUUUAAUGUAUACAAUUGUGUAUACAUGGUUGCUUGUUUGUUGACUCAGUGUAUAGAACAUGUACUACUAUAAUGUACAUCUUUCAUGUGUUAUUUCAAUGUGAUGUUGAAUCACAUUUAAAAUACAGCAAAGCUUUUACAGCUGAAUCCUGUUGUUGUUUUUUUUAAUUAUGUACAGUUUUGAUUUCCAACAGAUCAAAAAAUAAACAUACUAGAGAAUUCUUCA